UGUCUGCAUAGUUGCUUAACAUUAAAUGUCAAAUUGUAAACAAGGAAAUUCUAAAUUUGGAGAAUCUGUUGUUGUUUUUCUCCAUUUAGCUCAGUUGAGAGAGAUGGAGUUUGAAGCAAUUUAUACAGUACAACCUGGCCAGAGUAGCUCACUCUGAAGCAAAAACCUCUCAAUAACAACAUCAUAAGAAUUUCCCUAAGCUGAAAUAUAUCAAAUUUACCUCUCCAGAACAACAACCUCAACAUAACUAAAAAUAGUUGUAUAUCCCACAGGGUGUUGCUCUACAGAGGUUGCACUGUACUUAUAAUAUCUAUUGUUAAUGCUUUAAGAAAAACAACACUUUCAACAAGGGGAAAAGUGAACAUCUAUUACUCAUAAGAAGUGCUACAAGUGUGUUGUCAUGUGAAAAGGACUUUACCCCAACUGUGCUGCAUGAUGUAUAUUCAAGAGUGAGACAGCCAUGCACCAUCUGUAAACUGAGACGGACCCACACAUGAAAUAUGUUGACUUUUCUAUGUAUUAUCAUCUGUACAGAAUGUGUUUAUGACAAGACUGUAUACAUAUAUUGUUAAAUCAUUUUUUAUUUCCAUUAUGGUAUGCAUGCAUGUAAGAAGAAAGCAUUAAUUAAACAAUUGCAUUCAUAGAAAUGUUAAAAUGUGAUCAAUCUAAUUUAAAGAAUAACCUUUAAUUGGACUUUCUAAGUUUCAUAUUAUUUUUGGUGGAGAUUGACCCAGUCAUUCAGCAACUUAUACUGUCUGUGAGUCAUUUCUUGUAUGUUAUAGUUUUCUUAAUAAUGCAUAAAAUUUCAAAAUAAUGAUUAGAUGAACUCAUUCAUCACUUGUACAUUAAUGUUAAAGCAGUUCAACAUUUUACCAUAACUUAAUAAAUAUUCUAUUAACCAGAUUUUUCACAUAUUUUCAUAUAAACAUUUGUAUAAUACAGUCUAAUCUAAUCUAGAAAUGAUGUUCCAGAAUUUUUUAAUUAUACUUUAUUUUGUUUUGAUGUCUCAACAUAUAAUUACUAACAUCAACAAAACUUAGAUAUUUUACAAUUUGGUUGGUAUAAAUGGUUGUUUUGUUGAUAUGUUUUAUUUACUUCCAUCCAGGGGAAUAAGGAAAUAUACAUUUUAAAAUAUCAUUCCAGAUAAGAACACUAUAUAAUCAAGAUAAAAGAAAUAAGAAAAAUUAUGUUGGUGGAAUUUUAUUUUAAAAAAUUGAUAUAAAAUUGAUAUAUAGUUUUUGUAGUAUUUACUUCUUUAGAUAUGUUGGACUGAAAUGGGAAUAACAACAUACUUUAAAUUUUUGUAGUCAUAAGUUAAUAUGAGAAUUAUUAACUUGAAAUAGAUUUUAUCUCGCUGUUAUGCCAUCUGAGCUUUAAUAUUUUUCAACAUUGUCAUUGGCAACAAGGCUAAACAUUAUUUCUUAUGUAUACUUUGCAUUCAUGUGUGAUAAAUGAUUUUAUGGUAUUCUUUGAUAUGAUAUAUGCUUUUCAUCUUACCAUGGAUUAAAAAAAUAUAUAUAUUUAUUUGUCUGAAAAUUAAGGUAAAAAUACUGACUGAUUAAAUUGCAAUAUAAGAAAGCUUAUAUGAGAUAAAGGGAGGUAAUUCCAUAAAAAAUAUGUAGAAUGUAGAUGAUAAAUAUAAUGAAGGGAGGUAAUAAAAUAUUGUGAAGUUAA